rnacentral:rRNA from 1 species
GACGAACGCUGGCGGCAGGCCUAACACAUGCAAGUCGAGCGGAUCGGCGGACGGGUGCGUAAUGCCUAGGAAUCUGACUGGUCGUGGGGGAUAACGUCCGGAAACGGGCGCUAAUCCCGCAUCCUCUCAGCUUAUCCUAGGUCGGAUUAGCUAGUUGGUGGGGUAGAGGCCUACCAAGGCGACGAUCCGUAACCGGUCUGAGAGGAUGAUCAGUCAAACUGGAACUGAGACACGGUCCAGACUCCAACGGGAGGCAGCAUUGGGGAAUAUUGGAAAAUGGGCGAAAGCCUGAUGCAGCCAUGCCGCGUGUGUGAAGAAGGUCUUCGGAUUGUAAAGCACUUUAAGUUGGGAGGCGUUACCAACAGAAUAAGCACCGGCUAACUUCGUGCCAGCAGCCGCGGUAAUAC